UGGCCCUCCAGAUGUUUUUGAGACUACAAUUCCCAUCAUCCCUGACCACUGGUCUUGCUAGCUAGGGAUCAUGGGAGUUGUAGGCCAAAAACGUCUGGAGGGCUG